AUACGAAGGGUGCAAGCGUUAUUCGGAUUUACUGGGCGUAAAGCGCGCGCAGGCGGAUUAGUAAGUCAGAUGUGAAAUCUCGGGGCUCAACCCCGAAACUGCGUCUGAAACUACUAAUCUAGAGUUAUGGAGGGGGAAGUGGAAUUUCGCAUGUAGGGGUAAAAUCCGUAGAGAUGCGAAGGAACACCAGAGGCGAAGGCGACUUCCUGGCCAUUAACUGACGCUGAGGCGCGAAAGCGUGGGGAGCAAACAGGAUUAGAUACCCUGGUAGUCCACGCCGUAAACGAUGUGCACUAGAUUUGGGGGGUUUGACCCCUUCCGAGUCGCAGCUAACGCAUUAAGUGCACCGCCUGGGGAGUACGGUCGCAAGACUAAA
rnacentral:rRNA from 1 species